rnacentral:rRNA from 1 species
UACACAUGCAGUCGAGCGGUAGAGAGCUGCUUGCACCUCUUGAGAGCGGCGGACGGGUGAGUAAUGCCUAGGAAUCUGCCUGGUAGUGGGGGAUAACGUUCGGAAACGGACGCUAAUACCGCAUACGUCCUACGGGAGAAAGCAGGGGACCUUCGGGCCUUGCGCUAUCAGAUGAGCCUAGGUCGGAUUAGCUAGUUGGUGAGGUAAAGGCUCACCAAGGCGACGAUCCGUAACUGGUCUGAGAGGAUGAUCAGUCACACUGGAACUGAGACACGGUCCAGACUCCUACGGGAGGCAGCAGUGGGGAAUAUUGGACAAUGGGCGAAAGCCUGAUCCAGCCAUGCCGCGUGUGUGAAGAAGGUCUUCGGAUUGUAAAGCACUUUAAGUUGGGAGGAAGGGUACUUACCUAAUACGUGAGUAUUUUGACGUUACCGACAGAAUAAGCACCGGCUAACUCUGUGCCAGCAGCCGCGUUAAUACAGAGGGUGCAAGCGUUAAUCGGAAUUACUGGGCGUAAAGCGCGCGUAGGUGGUUCGUUAAGUUGGAUGUGAAAUCCCCGGGCUCAACCUGGGAACUGCAUCCAAAACUGGCGAGCUAGAGUAUGGUAGAGGGUGGUGGAAUUUCCUGUGUAGCGGUGAAAUGCGUAGAUAUAGGAAGGAACACCAGUGGCGAAGGCGACCACCUGGACUGAUACUGACACUGAGGUGCGAAAGCGUGGGGAGCAAACAGGAUUAGAUACCCUGGUAGUCCACGCCGUAAACGAUGUCAACUAGCCGUUGGGGACCUUGAGUCUUUAGUGGCGCAGCUAACGCAUUAGUUGACCGCCUGGG